rnacentral:rRNA from 1 species
GGGGAAUUUUGGACAAUGGGGGCAACCCUGAUCCAGCCAUCCCGCGUGUGCGAUGAAGGCCUUCGGGUUGUAAAGCACUUUUGGCAGGGAAGAAACGGCGCUGAUUAAUACUUGGCGCAACUGACGGUACCUGCAGAAUAAGCACCGGCUAACUACGUGCCAGCAGCCGCGGUAAUACGUAGGGUGCAAGCGUUAAUCGGAAUUACUGGGCGUAAAGCGUGCGCAGGCGGUUUGGAAAGAAAGAUGUGAAAUCCCAGAGCUUAACUUUGGAACUGCAUUUUUAACUGCCAAGCUAGAGUAUGUCAGAGGGGGGUAGAAUUCCACGUGUAGCAGUGAAAUGCGUAGAGAUGUGGAGGAAUACCGAUGGCGAAGGCAGCCCCCUGGGAUAAUACUGACGCUCAUGCACGAAAGCGUGGGGAGCAAAC